GGAAAGCUUUUGACGAGAGAGCGAGCUUUGGGUUAUCUUGGUGGGUUAUCUAGCCCUUGUGCUUUAGAAUGGGAUGAAGAAUCAAAAUCAAAGCUCAAGCGCUGGAUCAUUCGAUCCAUGGAACUAAAUUGUGGAAGGUCAGUUUGGUGGUACGGCGAGAUAAAAGAAAAGAAAAGAAUAAAAGGUUAUACACGUGUGUGAAAAAAAAAGAAAAAUUGAAAUCAAUAAAUCGUCGAAAGUAGGGUGCACAUGCCAAGCUGCCCCAAAAAAUUAAGAUCAGUGUGCCGAAAAGCCAAAAAAUCUGUGGUUCUCCAAAGAUAAACCCGGUUUCAAGCCCCAAACGGGGUCUGAGCUUUGCCAGUCGAUCUCGGUUUCUCCAGUGUAAUUUAAUAUUGACGAAAGUUAUCCAACGGAGGUCAAACUUCUGCCGCACAACGAAAAUUUGCGAUCAACCUAAUUUUUGACCUUGGCAGAGGACAUACAGUUGCCUCUGAAAUUCUAUGUCGUGGCCUGGAUAGGCACAGACAUAUCCAUAUCGGAUGUCUUCAAGGAAAAGGAUUGACACACACACACACACACUGAAUUCAACCGACACAUCAAUGCAUGCAGGCCUGUUGCAGCGAUGGAAAACCAAACGUUAGCACCAGAAUCUCUUGUAUGUGUUUAGCUGGAACAACUGAAAGAUCCCCCCCAUCCGACGAGCCCUAGCCGAAAGAUCCCACACAGUGCUAACCAUAACAUCUAUGCAAGUUGUCUAGUUUGUGGAAUGCGUCUCGAAAGCUACCACACCAGAACACCGGGACAC